UCUUUCUAGUUCCUAGUUCUAAGUCUUUACUUAAGCACACCAUUAAAUUCUUCUUAUAGUUGUUAUUUACUGUAGACUUAUUCAAUUUGGCAUCCGAAUUUUCUUCUUUCAUAUGGUUUCAAGUUUUAAAUGUUAAAUUAUUUACUUAAGCACUGUUAAAUUAUAUAUGGAACUAUUACUUAUGUCCUAGUCAUAGUUAUUAAGGCGAAAGGCGA
rnacentral:misc_RNA from 1 species